rfam:Sporosarcina sp. P33, complete genome.
UUCUUAUCAAGAGAAGCUGAGGGAUUUGGCCUGAUGAAGCUUCAGCAACCUCUGUGCAGACAGGAAGGUGCUACCUCCAACAAGAUUGUUGUCUUGAGAGAUAAGAA